rnacentral:rRNA from 1 species
GAUGAACGCUGGCGGCGUGCCUAAUACAUGCAAGUCGAACGAAACUUCUUUAUCACCGAGUGCUUGCACUCACCGAUAAAGAGUUGAGUGGCGAACGGGUGAGUAACACGUGGGCAACCUGCCCAAAAGAGGGGGAUAACACUUGGAAACAGGUGCUAAUACCGCAUAACCAUAGUUACCACAUGGUAACUAUGUAAAAGGUGGCUAUACUACCGCUUUUGGAUAGGCCCGCGGCGCAUUAGCUAGUUGGUAGGGUAAAGGCUUACCAAGGCAAUGAUGCGUAGCCGAAUUGAGAGGUUGAUCGGCCACAUUGGGACUGAGACACGGCCCAAACUCCUACGGGAGGCAGCAGUAGGGAAUCUUCCACAAUGGGCGAAAGCCUGAUGGAGCAACGCCGCGUGGGUGAAGAAGGUCUUCGGAUCGUAAAACCCUGUUGUUAGAGAAGAAAGUGCGUGAGAGUAACUGUUCACGUUUCGACGGUAUCUAACCAGAAAGCCACGGCUAACUACGUG